rnacentral:tRNA from 1 species
GUUAGCGUGGCAGAGCUUGGUCAUGCAAAAGAUCUAAGCCCUUUUAUUCAGGGGUUCAAAUCCCCUCGCUAACU